rnacentral:lncRNA from 10 species
UUCCUUUCUUUGUAUCUUGUGUGUGUGACCCUAGUUUCUGUAAAUGUAAGCAGGAGAAAGCAAGGAGGGGUGGAGGGAGAGGCAGAGAGAGACAGAGGGAAAGACACGUAGAGACAGACCAAUUCACAGAGACAGAUGGAGAUAGAGAUACAGAGGGACAGAAAGAAGACAGCGACAGGCAGAGAGAGACAGAGACAGAUGGAGAUGGGGAGGCAGAGGAGACAUGUCCUUGCUGACCGCCAGUGCUCUGUGGGUUUGGGCCCCCCAUUCAUCCCUUGCCCAUCCUGCACUUGUGAAGUUUCCAAGGUCCUCUGUUACUCGGCCUGGGCACCGCUGCACCUUGGGACUCUUUCUGCAGAUGGCGCCUCUCCUGGAGGUCUCUAGCACUCUGACCUCUUACAAAAGCCCCUCUGGCCUCGGAUUGAUAAUGUGGGGUCAAGUGUGUGCGUUCUGGGCAGAGCCUGGAGGUAGGCUGGAGCUCGUGUCCCGGGUCUGGAUGCUUCUCUCAGUCUCUGUGCCCCUUCUGGCUCCGGGAUCUGGGCCCACUUUGCACAAAGUGGGGAGGCAGAGCGGGG